CAGAGCUCUUUAAUACUACCGUCGAUCAUCUUUAUUAUCCACCUCGUAAUUGGACUUUUGCUGUCAGAGAACAUCUCAACAAAAGCCUGGCAGAAGAGGGCCUUUUGAAGGAAUCUAAUCUAUCAAAAACAAAGUUUUUCCUCUCUCACCCUAUUCCAGAAUGCUCAUGUUCAACUGUCAAGGCUACUGAUAUUGUGCAUUCAGGAAAGAACAACAAUCUCCAUCUGUUGUUUGAAGGGCAGGAUGAGUGCCCCAAAUGGAUGCAACAACUAAGAACUCAAGAGGCUAAAGCUGAUGAAGUUGAUUCUCAAGAAGAUGAGAUUGAUUUAAACGGGCAGUCAGAAUCGGAAGGAUACAAUGGAACUGAUGCAAUUCCAUCCCUGGAACAGGAUGAGGAAAUGGAUCCUGAUGAUUAGGAUUAGAUGUACAUAUCUUGCCUUCAUUUUCUUGUUCAUUUCCCUCUAUGCCACCGACGUCAAGCCCCACUCUGGAUUAAUCUUUUCUAAGAGUGUAAAAACUUACAGCAGCAGCAUGCUGCUUUUGGAAUGUCUGGAAGCACUCCCAAUUUUUUUGGGGCCAAAUUAACUGCAAGCACAGUUCUUCAAAUGUGCUUUAGAAGAAUCCGUGCAGUCUGCUUAGAGUUCAUUGCUUGGCAUCUGGACUCCAUUGGUCUCUUCCUUAGAACUCUCCCUCUUUCUCUCCAAGCAGGACAAGUUUUCUCAUCUUCUACAGGUAUACAGCAUACAAAAGAUGUCUAAAUUUCUAGUACUUUGCGACUGCACAAAGCAAAAGUGACACUGUGAAGCCAUAUAUAGUUGACAACGAUUCUUUGAUUUUCAUUUCACAUUUAGGUUGGCCUUCUGCUUCGAGCCAUGGGUUAUCCACCUAGGACAAGAAUAUUCCUAUCAGGUUCUGAAACCUUUGGCGGACAACGGGUUAUGAUUCCUUUACGCGCCAUGUACACCAAUUUAGUUGAUCGUACUUCUUUGUGCAGCAAAACAGAGCUAGCCAAUUUAGUUGGCCCUGAAACCCCCCUUAUUCCUGAUCCUGAUCAGCUUUUACCAGUAAAAAGUCCAAAUCAACUAAAAUCAGAAUGGGACAAGUCUGGUCCCCGCCCAAGGCCUCUACCACCUCCUCCUGAUCGACCUAUUUAUCGACAUGAAAAAGAAGGCUGGUAUGGGUGGGUUGCAGAGAAAGAUAAGGAACCAGAACCUUCUCUCAAUGAUCAGAGGGAGCAAGCACACCGACUGCUAUGGGAUGCUCUUGAUUACAUAGUCUCGGUGGACGCUGAAGUUUUUUUCCCUGGUUUUGACAAUGAUGGUAGUGGGCCUGAUUUUGCUAGCUUGGUGAUGGGACACCGACUUUAUGAGAUGGCAUCUGCAAGAACAUUUCGGCCAAACAGGUAAAACUAACAACACUCCUGGUCCUUUCUUUGUUUGGUGUUUACUAUUUCUUUUUAUUUACCAUCACUUUCUAAAAUGUAUCUUGUAUAUGCAGGAAAUAUCUUGCAGAGCUCUUUAAUACUACCGUCGAUCAUCUUUAUUAUCCACCUCGUAAUUGGACUUUUGCUGUCAGAGAACAUCUCAACAAAAGCCUGGCAGAAGAGGGCCUUUUGAAGGAAUCUAAUCUAUCAAAAACAAAGUUUUUCCUCUCUCACCCUAUUCCAGAAUGCUCAUGUUCAACUGUCAAGGCUACUGAUAUUGUGCAUUCAGGAAAGAAUAACAAUCUCCAUAUGUUGUUUGAAGGGCAGGAUGAGUGCCCCAAAUGGAUGCAACAACUAAGGACUCAAGAGGCUAAUGCUGAUGAAGUUGAUUCUCAAGAAGAUGAGAUUGAUUUAAACGGGCAGUCAGAAUCGGAAGGAUACAAUGGAACUGAUGCAAUUCCAUCCCUGGAACAGGAUGAGGAAAUGGAUCCUGAUGAUUAGGAUUAGAUGUACAUAUCUUGCCUUCAUUUUCUUGUUCAUUUCCCUCUAUGCCACCGACGUCAAGCCUCACUCUGGAUUAAUAUUUUCUAAGAGAGUAAAAAACUUACAGCAGCAGCAUGCUGCUUUUGGAAUGUCUGGAAGCACUCCCAAUUUUUUUGGGGCCAAAUUAACUGCAAGCACAGUUCUUCAAAUGUGCUUUAGAAGAAUCCGUGCAGUCUGCUUAGAGUUCAUUGCUUGGCAUCUGGACUCCAUUGGUCUCUUCCUUAGAACUCUCCCUCUUUCUCUCCAAGCAGGACAAGUUUUCUCAUCUUCUACAGGUAUACAGCAUACAAAAGAUGUCUAAAUUUCUAGUACUUUGCGACUGCACAAAGCAAAAGUGACACUGUGAAGCCAUAUAUAGUUGACAACGAUUCUUUGAUUUUCAUUUCACAUCUUAAAUGUUUUUAAAGUAGAUGUUCGAACCUUUUGGCUAUUGAGUGGUUUCGAAUGCAACUAGCUUUACAGUAUAUUGAAAUUGUCUCUAGAGGAGUAAAGAC
rnacentral:lncRNA from 1 species